CAGAUUCUUACGGGUUUCCAUCAGAUUCUUAAUGGUUUCCAUCAGAUUCUUACGGGUUUCCAUCAGAUUCUUAACGGUUUCUGUCAUCAGAUUCUUAUGGUUUUCCAUCAGAUUCUUACGGGUUUCCAUCAGAUUCUUACGGGUUUCCAUCAGAUUCUUAAUGGUUUCCAUCAGAUUCUUACGGGUUUCCAUAAUCAGAUUCUUACGGGUUUCCAUCAGAUUCUUACAGAUUUUCAUAAUCAGAUUCUUACGGGUUUCCAUCAGAUUCUUAUAGCUUUCCAUCAUCAUAUUCUUGCGGGUUUCCAUCAGAUUCUUACGGGUUUCCAUCAGAUUCUUAAUGGUUUCCAUCAGAUUCUUACGGGUUUCCAUCAGAUUCUUACGGGUUUCCAUCAGAUUCUUAUAGCUUUCCAUCAUCAGAUUCUUACGGGUUUCCAUCAGAUUCUUACGGGUUUCCAUCAGAUUCUUACGGGUUUCCAUCAGAUUCUUAAUGGUUUCC
ensembl:lncRNA